GCCUUGGUAGCUCAAUUGGCUAGAGCGUGGGACUUUUAUAAAAAAUAAUUUACCUCCUAAAAAAAUAGGAAAACACCGGCUUCUCCGGACUAUCUAUUAUAGAGGCAUCCCAAGGUUGCGGGUUCGACCCCCGCCUGAGGCG